UAGUUACUCCCUCCGUCCCAAAAAAGAUGUCUCAGAUUUGUCAAAAUUUGGAUGUAUCUAUACACUAAAUUGUGUCAUCCAAAUUUAGACAACUUUGCGACAUCUUUUUUGGGACAGAGGGAGUAUAAA
rfam:Triticum aestivum genome assembly, contig: Triticum_aestivum_CS42_TGACv1_scaffold_096519_2AL